CCAAUAGCGUAUAUUAAAGUUGUUGCAGUUAAAAAGCUCGUAGUUGAAUUUCGGGAUCAAUAUGUCGGUCGUGCCUCGGUACGUACUGGCAUCGUUGGUUUCUCCCUUCUGAUGAACCAUGAUGCCAUUAGUUUGGUGUUGUGGGGAAUCAGGACUGUUACUUUGAAAAAAUUAGAGUGUUUAAAGCAGGCUCACGCUUGAAUACAUUAGCAUGGAAUAAUGAAAUAGGACGUUUGAUUCUAUUUUGUUGGUUUCUAGGAUCGACGUAAUGAUUAAUAGGGAUAGUUGGGGGCAUUAGUAUUCAAUUGUCAGAGGUGAAAUUCUUGGAUUUAUUGAAGACUAACUACUGCGAAAGCAUUUGCCAAGGAUGUUUUCAUUAAUCAAGAACGAAAGUUAGGGGAUCGAAGACGAUCAGAUACCGUCGUAGUCUUAACCAUAAACUAUGCCGACUAGGGAUCGGAUGAUGUUAAUUUUUUAAUGACUCAUUCGGCGCCUUACG
rnacentral:rRNA from 1 species